rnacentral:rRNA from 1 species
GGUCAAGUGAAUAAGUGCAUCAGGCGGAUGCCUUGGCGAUGAUAGGCGACGAAGGACGUGUAAGCCUGCGAAAAGCGCGGGGGAGCUGGCAAUAAAGCUAUGAUUCCGCGAUGUCCGAAUGGGGAAACCCACUGCAUUCUGUGCAGUAUCCUAAGUUGAAUACAUAGGCUUAGAGAAGCGAACCCGGAGAACUGAACCAUCUAAGUACCCGGAGGAAAAGAAAUCAACCGAGAUUCCGCAAGUAGUGGCGAGCGAACGCGGAGGAGCCUGUACGUAAUAACUGUCGAGAUAGAAGAACAAGCUGGGAAGCUUGACCAUAGCGGGUGACAGUCCCGUAUUCGAAAUCUCAACAGCGGUACUAAGCGUACGAAAAGUAGGGCGGGACACGUGAAAUCCUGUCUGAAUAUGGGGGGACCAUCCUCCAAGGCUAAAUACUCAUCAUCGACCGAUAGUGAACCAGUACCGUGAGGGAAAGGCGAAAAGAACCCCGGGAGGGGAGUGAAACAGAACCUGAAACCUGAUGCAUACAAACAGUGGGAGCGCCCUAGUGGUGUGACUGCGUACCUUUUGUAUAAUGGGUCAACGACUUACAUUCAGUAGCGAGCUUAACCGGAUAGGGGAGGCGUAGGGAAACCGAGUCUUAAUAGGGCGAUGAGUUGCUGGGUGUAGACCCGAAACCGAGUGAUCUAUCCAUGGCCAGGUUGAAGGUGCCGUAACAGGUACUGGAGGACCGAACCCACGCAUGUUGCAAAAUGCGGGGAUGAGCUGUGGGUAGGGGUGAAAGGCUAAACAAACUCGGAGAUAGCUGGUUCUCCCCGAAAACUAUUUAGGUAGUGCCUCGAGCAAGACACUGAUGGGGGUAAAGCACUGUUAUGGCUAGGGGGUUAUUGCAACUUACCAACCCAUGGCAAACUCAGAAUACCAUCAAGUGGUUCCUCGGGAGACAGACAGCGGGUGCUAACGUCCGUUGUCAAGAGGGAAACAACCCAGACCGCCGGCUAAGGUCCCAAAUGAUAGAUUAAGUGGUAAACGAAGUGGGAAGGCACAGACAGCCAGGAUGUUGGCUUAGAAGCAGCCAUCAUUUAAAGAAAGCGUAAUAGCUCACUGGUCGAGUCGUCCUGCGCGGAAGAUGUAACGGGGCUCAAAUCUAUAACCGAAGCUGCGGAUGCCGGUUUACCGGCAUGGUAGGGGAGCGUUCUGUAGGCUGAUGAAGGUGCAUUGUAAAGUGUGCUGGAGGUAUCAGAAGUGCGAAUGUUGACAUGAGUAGCGAUAAAGCGGGUGAAAAGCCCGCUCGCCGAAAGCCCAAGGUUUCCUACGCAACGUUCAUCGGCGUAGGGUAAGUCGGCCCCUAAGGCGAGGCAGAAAUGCGUAGUCGAUGGGAAACAGGUUAAUAUUCCUGUACUUGAUUCAAAUGCGAUGUGGGGACGGAGAAGGUUAGGUUGGCAAGCUGUUGGAAUAGCUUGUUUAAGCCGGUAGGUGGAAGACUUAGGCAAAUCCGGGUUUUCUUAACACCGAGAAGUGAUGACGAGUGUCUACGGACACGAAGCAACCGAUACCACGCUUCCAGGAAAAGCCACUAAGCUUCAGUUUGAAUCGAACCGUACCGCAAACCGACACAGGUGGGCAGGAUGAGAAUUCUAAGGCGCUUGAGAGAACUCGGGAGAAGGAACUCGGCAAAUUGAUACCGUAACUUCGGGAGAAGGUAUGCCCUCUAAGGUUAAGGACUUGCUCCGUAAGCCCCGGAGGGUCGCAGAGAAUAGGUGGCUGCGACUGUUUAUUAAAAACACAGCACUCUGCCAACACGAAAGUGGACGUAUAGGGUGUGACGCCUGCCCGGUGCCGGAAGGUUAAUUGAAGAUGUGCAAGCAUCGGAUCGAAGCCCCGGUAAACGGCGGCCGUAACUAUAACGGUCCUAAGGUAGCGAAAUUCCUUGUCGGGUAAGUUCCGACCCGCACGAAUGGCGUAACGAUGGCCACACUGUCUCCUCCCGAGACUCAGCGAAGUUGAAGUGGUUGUGAAGAUGCAAUCUACCCGCUGCUAGACGGAAAGACCCCGUGAACCUUUACUGUAGCUUUGCAUUGGACUUUGAAGUCACUUGUGUAGGAUAGGUGGGAGGCUUGGAAGCAGAGACGCCAGUCUCUGUGGAGUCGUCCUUGAAAUACCACCCUGGUGUCUUUGAGGUUCUAACCCAGACCCGUCAUCCGGGUCGGGGACCGUGCAUGGUAGGCAGUUUGACUGGGGCGGUCUCCUCCCAAAGCGUAACGGAGGAGUUCGAAGGUUACCUAGGUCCGGUCGGAAAUCGGACUGAUAGUGCAAUGGCAAAAGGUAGCUUAACUGCGAGACCGACAAGUCGGGCAGGUGCGAAAGCAGGACAUAGUGAUCCGGUGGUUCUGUAUGGAAGGGCCAUCGCUCAACGGAUAAAAGGUACUCCGGGGAUAACAGGCUGAUUCCGCCCAAGAGUUCAUAUCGACGGCGGAGUUUGGCACCUCGAUGUCGGCUCAUCACAUCCUGGGGCUGUAGUCGGUCCCAAGGGUAUGGCUGUUCGCCAUUUAAAGUGGUACGUGAGCUGGGUUUAAAACGUCGUGAGACAGUUUGGUCCCUAUCUGCAGUGGGCGUUGGAAGUUUGACGGGGGCUGCUCCUAGUACGAGAGGACCGGAGUGGACGAACCUCUGGUGUACCGGUUGUAACGCCAGUUGCAUAGCCGGGUAGCUAAGUUCGGAAGAGAUAAGCGCUGAAAGCAUCUAAGCGCGAAACUCGCCUGAAGAUGAGACUUCCCUUGCGGUUUAACCGCACUAAAGGGUCGUUCGAGACCAGGACGUUGAUAGGUGGGGUGUGGAAGCGCGGUAACGCGUGAAGCUAACCCAUACUAAUUGCCCGUGAGGCUUGACUCU